AGCUGCCUGCAUUAAGUUUAACUUACUGAUGAUUUGGAGUGGUAGCUUUAACUUGUAAAUUCGGAGGAUGUCAUACUUCGGUGUACAUUGUUACUACAUCAUUUAAAGCAUAAAAUACGACAUUAAGUUUAUGUUCAAAAUCAGAUGCUAUUUAUUUACAAUCUUUCUUAGAAGGAUGAGGUGAAUACACUGUCUUGGUUCUACGCACAUUGAAUUAAGCAUGCAGAAUGAAUCAUUAUUUUCAUGAUUAUUAUUUGGUUUUUGAAACAUUAUAAUAAUAUUAAAAUGACAUUAAGAAACAUGUUCAUUUCUUUUAGAUACGAAGACUCUAAGAAGAAAAAAGGCAAGGGUUAAUGAUCAAAAUAUACAUACUGUUUCUCAACACAUUGUAUACUUAACUCAAUGUUUUUUUCUCUUUUCUAGGGAAAAAUUGCCAAGUCUAAAAAUACAGUAGAUGGUGGCCUUGCACAGGAAUCUGAGUCCACAGAGGGUGAACAAGAUCAACCUGUUGGAGAGCACCCAUGUGCAGUAGAUGGUGGCCUUGCACAGGAAUCUGAGUCCACAGAGGGUGAACAAGUUUUAUUCGAAGUGGAGAGUGUUCUCCGGUUACCUGACGGGACCAAGGCCGAAAGGUAACUUUGUAUGUCAUUACCAUCAAUAUUUCAUACAUUUACAUAAUUCUUCCUAAGCAAUUAAUAGUUCCAAACAAUAACUGUGCACAGGUCUACACAUUGCACGAUUACCGUAUUUUCCGGACUAUAAGGCGCACUUAAAAGCCUUUAAUUUUUUUCAAAA